AAUGAACGCUGGCGGCGUGCCUAAUACAUGCAAGUCGAGCGACCAGACAAUAAGCGCGUGCUCCUAACGUUAGCGGCUGGCGGGCGAGUAACACGUGGAUAAGCUUCUAAUAAUACUGGGAGAACUUCGGGAAAACGCUGACGAUACCGGCUAAUAUGAUGUACCGCAUGGUUCAAUAGAGAAUGACGGCUUUCCUGUUUCAUUUAGAUGGAUCCGCGUCGCAUUAGCUAGUUGGUAAGGUAACGGCUUACCAAGGCAACGAUGCGUAGCCGACCUGAGAGGGUGAUCGGCCACACUGGAACUGAGACACGGUCCAGACUCCUACGGGAGGCAGCAGUAGGGAAUCUUCCGCAAUGGGCGAAAGCCUGACGGAGCAACGCCGCGUGAGUGAUGAAGGUCUUCGGGUCGUAAAGCUCUGUUAUUAGGGAAGAAAAACAGUGGAAGUAACUAUGCACGUCUUGACGGUACCUAAACAGAAAGCAACGGCUAACUACGUG
rnacentral:rRNA from 1 species